AUGUCCCGCGCUUGGGAUGACGGUGAGGCGUGGCGCAAGCGCCGGUACGAGGAUCUCCUGGACCCGCCUCGCCCCUCUCCGGACUCUCUCCGCCGCGAGGAAGACUUGCGCCGGGAGCUCCGCGGCCGCGAUCACGACUCCUCUCGCCCGUCUGCCCAGGAGGAUCGCCAGGACGCGCGCUGGUCACCCGACCGCUCCGCAUGGCGUGGCCGGUCGCGCUCCCCCCUGUCGCGGGUGGCCGGCCGGCUCGCCGCCGCUCCCCCUCCCCGGUGCACCGUCACGACCGUUCACCCUCCCUGCCCCGGCAACAGCGCCCUCCAUCCCCGCGGCCUCCCGCACCGGCUCCGGCUGCCCCCGCCCGGAAAUAUGUCCCGCCCCAUGCCUCCUCCUCGGCCACACCCCUCGCUUCGGGUGUCAUGGGUGGGGGGCAGCCCCGUGGCCUCCAAGGGCAUUCCAAGAAGAAGAAGAGGCGUGGCCAGGGCCGGGCNNNNNNNNNNNNNNNNNNNNNNNNNNNNNNNNNNNNNNNNNNNNNNNNNNNNNNNNNNNNNNNNNNNNNNNNNNNNNNNNNNNNNNNNNNNNNNNNNNNNNNNNNNNNNNNNNNNNNNNNNNNNNNNNNNNNNNNNNCAACCCCGCCUGCUGCUACAUCUGCAAGGACCUCGGACACCCCGCCCUCUUAUGCCCGGAUCGGCCGAUCCCGGACAAGCUAGGAUGUAUGGACAUGGGAUCGAGGGGUUGGGGUUCUUCCACAUUGAGGUCCCCGACAUCUCGCCACCCACCCCAUCCCUCCAGGCGGUGGUCAUAGUGAUAGACGGUGUGGCCUCCCCCGAGAUGAUCGAGGCGGAGCUCAACCACCUGUACCGCCGUCAGUUGGAUUGGGCGGUCACUCCCAUCUCCGGCACCGAGUUCUCUGUGGUCUUCCCCGACUCCGUCAGCCACGGAUACGCCACCCGCAGCGACCAGAUCACACUUGCCCUCAACAAACUCGUCGUCGACAUUUCCGAGCCGAUUCUCGACCCGAAGGCGGUGGCCGUUCUCGACACGGCCUGGAUCCUUAUUGCCAGUCUCCCCGACAUCGCGCGCUCUGAGCGUGUCAUCCGUCAAAUGUCACGGAUUCUGGGCAAGGUGGUCGUCGUCGAUGAGCUUUCCCUCCGCAAGGAGGAGGAGGUGCGAGUCAAGGUCAAGUGCCUCGACUCCGACAAGCUGCGGGCCACAAUUCAGGUCUUCUUCAACGACCAAGGAUUCGACCUCCGCAUUGCUCCCGAGCCGCCCAACCAUGUGGGGCGCCCUCGCUUCACUGACGACGGGGAAGUUGCUCCCCCAGAGUCCAGAUCGAGGCCAUCCGCGCCCGGGAAGUCCUGGAUGGCCGGCUGGCCGAGACCCGUGCCCGCCUGGCCUCCUCCUCCUCGGAGGCUAGCGCCCUCCCCCGGACCCCCAGUCGUCCCGUCUGGCGGCCCCCGCCCCCCUGGAGAUUCGGGGCCGCACCCGAUCCCGCACCGCCGCCCUCCGCGCGCAAAGCGCCUCCCGUGUCCUGGGGUCAAACAGCCCCUCCAUGGCAGUCUGAUGCGGACUCUCUUCUGGAACAUCUGCGGGUUCGGCCAGGAUGGCCGACGCUGCCAACUCAUCGAAUACAUGCGUGACGAGCACAUUGACAUAGUUGCAAUCCAAGAGACCAUGCAAACCGAUUUCACCCUGGCCGAGCUUGAGCACCUGAGCACCCACUUGUUCGCCUGGCAUUGGCUCCCUUCUAGUGGGAUCGCCGGGCACUCUGGUGGCAUCCUAUUAGGUGUCAAGGAUGCCACCUUUGAGGUUGGGAGCAUGGAUAGGGGUGAGUUCUUUGUGAGCAUGGAAAUCUUCGAGCGUGCACUGAACUUUAAGUGGGAGAUCAUUAUAGUCUAUGGCCCCGCCGACCAUAGUCGCUCGGUGUCCUUCCUCGACGAGCUCUGGAGUAAGUUGUUCAACGAUUGUAUUGCAGAUCUCGGUUUGCGGGAAUUGGAUAGGAUUGGUGCCAGGUUCACCUGGACCAAUCGCCAGGCCGACCCAACGCGCUCCGUGCUGGAUCGGGUCUUGGUAUCUCCUGAGUGGGAGUUGAGGUACCCCCUUGCCUCCCUCCGCGCCAUCACGCGUAUUGGAUCGGACCACGUUCCUCUUCUUCUAUCCUCUCAGGAUGAACGCCCCCCCUCUGCCCCUAGAUUCCGCUUCGAGAUGUUCUGGCUUAACCAGAACGGUUUCGCCGAGGCCGUGCGCAGCCGCUGGCUGGAAGCCCGCCUUGCUUCCCACCGAUCCAUCUCGGCGGUGGAUGACUGGCACUUCUGCGCCAAGCGCGCCCGUCAGUUCAUGAAGGGCUGGGGCGCGAAUCUCGGGAGGGACCUCCGUCUUCGCAAGAAAGCCCUCCUUGACUCCAUUCAGGCCCUGGACCUUCGGGCCGACUCGGUGGGCCUCUCUCCUGACGAAUGGAUGCAGCGGUAUGACCUUGAAGACCAUCUUAUGGUCAUAUACACCGACGAGGAGGUGUAUUGGCACCUUCGAGGUACCCAAAAGUGGGUUCUCCAGGGUGACGCGAAUACCGCCUACUUCCAGGCGAUCGCCAAUGGUCGGCGGCGGCGGAAUACCAUCCCCCUGCUGUGGGAUGGCGAGACGCAUCUCCAGCGGCCUGCUGACAGUCGUGCCCACGUUGACGGCUUCUAUCAAGCCCUGUUUGCAACCCCCCUAGCUCUUGCGCCACACUUCUGGACCUUCUGGCCCGCCAUCAAACAGGAGGUCAUGGCCAUCUUCGAGGAGUUCUAUGUCGGUUCCAUAGAUCUCAAGCGCCUUAACUACGGGAUUAUCACUCUGAUUCCCAAGGUCCCAGGCGCCUCUAACAUCCACCAGUUCCGUCCUAUCACGAUGAUCAAUGUGAUCUUCCGCAUUCUUGCCAAGGGGUACGCCAAUAGGAUGGUGUCGUCAGGUCGCACCGCGGUGAACAUCAAUGGGGAAAUCGGGCCCUACUUCCCCACCUCCUGUGGGGUUAGACAGGGUGACCCCUUUUCCCCGUUUUUGUUCAAUAUGGUGGUUGAUGCCCUGGCCUCGAUCCUGGAUAAGGCCAAGGCCGCCGGCCACAUUCUAGGCAUCGCCCCGCACUUGGUGGAGGGAGGAGGCGUUUCCCUUCUCCAAUACGCCGAUGACACCAUCAUCAUGGUUCAAGGCUCGGCGCCUGAGAUCUCAAACCUCAAAUUUCUCCUACUGUGUUUUCAACACCUGUCGAGCCUCAAAAUAAAUUUUGAUAAAAGCGAGGUAGCCCGUAUGAUCCUCAUCAACUCGUCCCUCUCCAGCCUCCUCCUAUUCAUCAUGAGCUUCUACAGCUUCCCUGAGACUCUCCACCACGAGAUUGGUUCGGUCCAGGCCCGGUUCUAUUGGGCGGGCGAGGGUGACAAGCAGAAGUACCAUAUGGUGCGCUGGUCCGAAAUCUGCAAGCCCCGGGACCAAGGCGGCCUUGGUAUCAUGUCAUCCAAGCGCAUGAACCUGGCGCUCCUCACUCGUUGGCUCUAG
rnacentral:rRNA from 1 species